UGGUAACAAAGCAGUCUCUGCUGAGAUCCCAGAGCCAGUAGCUACCACUCUAAGGAGAGCUGACUCAACCACUUUGGACUAAUAAAUAAAUAAAUAAGUUUGUACUGCCAUUGCAGUCGUCGUCGUCGUUGCCGUGGACACCGUUGUCAACAGAACAACAACGCCCGACGACCCACCACUACUGGAGAUCAAUGACUGAACUAUGAACCACGCUGGACUAUGGUGUUGUCACUCUGCAGGAAGGUGGUAGUGAGAUUUGUGUAUAAGAGAUUUUCUAUGAUCUGGCAUCCUAUGGUAAUAUGUUGACCUGACACUCCAGAGCAAUAAUUCUGCUGAAUGUUAAAGAAAUUGCUUUCAAAGGCAGACUAGACUGCAGUGAUCACGUCCAGGUGGAAUUCACAGUCCUAAGAAGUACAGCUUAAAUGAAGAGUAAAUAGAAUAAAAGAGAAUGGAAUUCUUUCAAUAGCAAUGGAUUCAGAAGAUCAUUCAGUCCAACUGUCACCAGGGGCUGACCCACAGUUAAACAUGGACAGACACAAAGCAUCAGCCACAUGCCUAGGAAGCUGUAAGAGACUAUUCUUUUAUAUCAUUGACUCAAAGUUUGCUGAGGAUCAAGUCCAGGCAAGUCCUGGGCAAAGGCAGAGAAAUCUUUUGUCUUGAGGACACUGAUGGACAGGUCCUGGCUAAGGAUUGUGAAAUCCUCUAAGGAGCACAGAUGGACAAGGCCAGGGGCAUCGAGAGAGAGAUAAGCUGCUGCUAAUGGCCGGGAAGCGGUCUUUUUGUGUGGACUUAUCUCAAGGAAAAUGGCCAUCUCAGGAGGUAUGCACAGGACUCUUGCUCAAGCACCCAGGAAUGUCACGUAGACAGCAGAAAAUGGAGAAUAAAAGAGGGUCCAAUAACCACAACGCUGGAAGCUGAUCCUUCACCACAACCACGGCAACGGGAGAGGCUUAUCUCUCACCACGACAGACUUGAGGGGUUCUCUGCCAACUGAUCUCUCACCGCAACGUGUAGACGGAUCUCUACGUGGAGACUGAUCUCUCACCACGACACGAGCUUCCUGCCUUCCGAUCCUCCUCUACGGACCGUUUGCUGACGGACUUCCCUGGGCCUGCUACCUGAGACCUGCUGCUUCCUCCCUGGCCUGCAUCCUCUCGCUGCCCCAGACCGGCCUCGCUGCUCCUGCCCUUCGGCCUCGGACCGUCGGAACGUCGUGCAACGGGACUGCUGCCGGAUCCUGGUGGUGACUAUCCCCGCUUUACGCAAUUCUUGCCUCUUUCUAUCUUUUCUAUCGCUCGCCUUCCCUUCCCCAUCACCCCAAUCCUUAAUAGCGUCCGUCCUCCCCUUUCCCCAUCUCUCUUAUUAACAUUUAUAAUAAACUGGUCGGACCAACAUUUGAACCGUUGUUUCUUAAUCUCACGCCGGGCAUACAUAUUUCAAAGAACCUCCUCUCCCUCCUAUAAAUUGGAGCGAGACAGAAGCAUAUUCCAGUGUCUAACUACUCUCUUGGUGAAGAAGUUUGUCCUAAUCACUGAAUGAUGGAUUAAUAGAAUCACAGAAUCAUAGAAUGGUUAAGAUUGUAUGGAACCUUAAAGAACAUCUAAUUCCAGACCUCUGCCAUGGACAGGGUUGCCACCCACUAGAAAAGUUUGCUCAGGGCCCCAUCCAACCUGAUUUUGAAUAUAUCCAGGAUUAUGAUACUCAGAGCUUCUCUGGGCAAACUGUUCUAAUGCCUCCCCACUCCCUGGGUAAAGAAUUUCCUCCUAACAUCUAGCCUAAGUCUCUUCUCUUACAGCUUAAUAUGAAAUCUUCAAGCUUCCACUGGGUAGCAUCUCUUCAUUUAUGUGUGUCCACUGCACCACUCAGCUUGGUGUCAUAUGCAGACUUGCUGGGAGUACACUUGAUCCCACUGUCCAUGCCACCUAUGAAGAUGUUAAAUAGCACUGGUCCCAGUACUGAUCCCUGAAGAACACCACUUGUCAUUGGUUUCCACUUGGACAUUGAGCUGUUGACUGCAACUCCCUGAGUGUGACCAUCCAGCCAAUUCCUUAUUCAGCUAGUGGUCCAUCCAUCAAGUCCAUUUUUCUCCAAUUUGGUGAUGAGGAUGUCAUAUGGGACAGCAUCAAAUGCACAAAUUGCAAAUUGUCAAAUGGCACAAAUCCAGCUGGAUUCAAAUACAUGUAGGUGAAGAAAAUGCAAGAAAACAAAACAAACAAGGUUGACAAGAGUUACACUAAAUGAUUAAAAAAAUGAAACCAGCUCUGUGAAAAACAACAAAAAAAGAGAAAAUUAAACAACAAGGAGAUUAAAUAGGAGAGCUUAAUAUUGUACAACAGAUGGAAGGUUUUGUCUACAACGUGAAGGAAAUAAGGAAAUUUUCUGCAUUAUGAAACAGAUCUGAGGAAAGACAAGUCAAAUUAAUGCAUGCAACAUAAGUAUAUUAGCUGUAUGAAAUAAAGAGUAACUUUAUCAUUUUAAUUCAAAAGUGCACAGUCAUUUUCCUGAUUUGUUUUCCUUUCACUUGCACAAAAGCAAAGAUGUGGAC
ensembl:lncRNA